GUCUGUUUGAAGGUAUAAAAAGUUUAACCUGCCCACUGAUAAAUUUUUUAAAGGGCCGCGGUAUCCUGACUGUGCAAAGGUAGCAUAAUCGUUAGUUUUUUAAUUGGAAUCUUGUAUGAAUGGUUUGACAAAAGAAAAUCUGUCUUUAUAAUUAUUUAUUGAAUUUAACUUUUAAGUGAAAAGGCUUAAAUAAAUUAAAAAGACGAUAAGACCCUAUAAAGCUUAAUAUUAAAUUUUUAUUUAAUUAAAUUUUGAAUUAUAAUAAAAAUUUGGUAAAUAAAUUUUAUUUUGUUGGGGUGAUAAUGGUAAAAUGAUUAUUAACUGUUAAUUUUUUUAGACAAAAAUAAGUGAAUAAGUAAUUUAUUAAUAAAGGAUCCUGUAUUAAAGAUUAAAAGUUUAAGUUACUUUAGGGAUAACAGCGUUAUUUUUUUUGAGAGUUCUUAUCGAGAAAAAAGUUUGCGACCUCGAUGUUGAAUUAAAAUAUCUAUAUAAUUGUAGCAGUUAUAUAAGAAGGUCUGUUCGACCUUUAAAAUUUUACAUGAUUUGAGUUCAGACCGGCGUAAG
rnacentral:rRNA from 2 species